AGUCACUGACAUUAGAUACCCCUGUAGUCCCAGCCGUAAACAAUGUGCGUUAGGUAUGUCGGUAACCACGUGUUACCGAUGUGCCGAAGAGAAAUCGUGAAACGCACCACCUGGGAAGUACGGUCGCAAGGCUGAAACUUAAAGGAAUUGGCGGGGGAGCACCACAACAGGUGGAGCCUGCGGUUUAAUUGGAUUCAACGCCGGACAUCUCACCGGAUAAGACAGCUGAAUGAUUGUCAAUCUGAAGGUUUUACAUGACUAGCUG
rnacentral:rRNA from 1 species